CUAGUUGUUUUUUUUUCUUUUUCUUUGAUGAACCCUCUAGGCCUACAGAAUAAUCUAUUCCGAAGUAAUCUUUCAACCGCAAGUUUUCUAUCAGUAAGAAUUUGGCAGAAUUGUUGCAAACUCUAGUAUUUAGGUUACACAUAAUUGUCAUUAAAGGGUAAUGAAAUUUAUCAUUAUAACUAUCAAGUUAUAACUGAACAUUAUAGGAUUCUAAAUGGAUAUUACCUGGAAGGAAAUAAGACAUGAUCUUGGUCAUAUCAACAGUUAGAUCAUCCAAAUAACAAUGAGUCUAAUAGGAGAUAUUCAACCAGUGCAAAUCUCACAAGGUCACCCCACAUAUAUCCAAGAAUGAACAAUUAAAAUAUCUGCUAACACUUAAUAUGCAGGUAGUGGAGAAAUGUAAACUUAAGAGAAGUUUAUUGAGUCAAGUAAUUUGUGUUGAUUUACCCACCAUUUUUCAGAUGUUUGCAGACAAUUUAAUUCUGGUCUUUGGGAGUUAUACCCUCAAAUUUCCUAAGGGGUAGGAGUAGGAGUUGGGAAUAUCUUUCGUUCUUUGGAGCUUGGCAUUGCUUAUUUCCUUGAUGGUUUGUUUGUUGUUCUGACCUAGUGCUCUAAUUAGCUGUUGAAGGAAAAGGCUCUUUAGGGAAGUCACUGAGUGAGGUGUAACUAAGCCCUGACAAAAGGGGUUAGCCUGUGGCUGGUCAAAGUGGGAUUAAAGUAGUGAGGAAUCAACCUGAAAGUUUACAACAUCAGUAAAAAGCAUGUAUGAGGGAAUAUCAGGGUAUGGAAACUUCUCAAAGAAAUGUUGAUCAAAAGCUAUGUAGUCUUUCAUAUUUCCUGUAUCGUGCCAGUUAUGAGGCUCUUGUCUCUCAGCUUCAAAUGUACCCUUCCAUAUUCUGCUUUGUGAUUUUGAAAUUCUGCAAAACAUAUUUCUGCUUUGCCAGCAGGCUUUCUGUUAGACCCUGUCAAUAAGAGGUGCUGGAAAAAGACAGUAAGGCUUGAGGAAGAACACAUUCCUUUCUGCUCGUUACCUUAGCCUGUUUGUACUUCCUGUUCUUGUUACCGUUGUGUCAGCCAUAAUUUUUUUUCACCUCAGUAACAGCAGUUGAUUUCAGCUUGCAAUUUUUUCCAACACUCAGAGACAGAAUCUGUUCUGCCACCCUUCGGAGGCACCAGCAACAGCUGACAGUGUCCAUGAGAGGCCUGGAUCCUAGUUCCCUGGACCCCCAACUCCAAGCAGAGACAUCAGUGGUGGCUGAGCACUGUCCAAUUAGAGGUCCAUGUUCCAGUACUGUGGGGCCCUUUCUCCUAGAUUUUAUUCUUUAAUUCCAACUCUUUUGUUUGUCUUCCCAGCUCUAGAAAUAAUACCUACUUCUGGAAAUUGCCACUUCGAGGACACAUUAGUUUUCCUUUUUGCAUUUUUAUUUUUCAAUACUUAACAAUUAUUUACACUGAAUUAUCUUUAUUAAAAUAAGUGGUGUUUUUAAUUCUGUGACUGGAUGCUAUAACUGAUACAUUCCUUGUCUAUUACUCAAAAUGGCUUUUUUUUUAAGAGGCUUUCCUCAUUUGGGAGUAAACAAUGAAGAAAAUUAACAAAAUAAAAUAUAGAAUGCAGAAAGAAAAAUAAAAUUAUAAAAUCGUUUUGUUUCUUAGAAGAUCAUAUAUAGUUCUUGCGGGCGCACGGCACCAGGACUGGCAGGCAGCUCCACCUGCAGCCCCGGUGCAGGAUCCACUGGGUGAAGCCAGCUGGGCUCCUGAAUCUGGUGGGGAUGUGGAGAACCUUUAUGCCUAGCUCAGGGAUUGUAAAUACAGCAGUCGGCACUCUGUAUCUAGCUCAAGGUUUGUAAACACACCAAUCAGCACCCUGUGUCUAGCUCAGGGUUUGUGAAAGCACCAAUCCACACUGUAUCUAGCUACUCUGGUGGGGCCUUGGAGUACCUUUGUGUGGGACACUCUGUAUCUAGCUAAUCUGGUGGGGACUGGAGAACCUUUGUGCCUAGCUCGGGGAUUGUAAACACACCAAUCAGCGCCCUGUCAAAACAGAACACUCGGCCCUACCAAUCAGCAGGAUGUGGGUGGGUCCAGAAAAGAGAAUAAAAGCAGGCUGCCCCAGCCAGCAGUGGCAACCCGUUUGGAUCCCCUUCCGCACUGUGGAAGCUUUGUUCUUUCGCUCUUUGCAAUAAAUCUUGCUACUGCUCACCCUUUGGGUCCACACUGCCUUUAUGAGCUGUAACACUCACUGCGAAGGUCUGCAGCUUCACUCCUGAAGCCAGCCAGACCACGAGCCCACCGGGAGGAACGAACAAUUCCAGACUUGCCGCCUUAAGAGCUGUAACGCUCACCGCGAAGGUCUGCAGCUUCACUCCUGAAGCCAGCCAGACCACGAGCCCACCGGGAGGAACGAACAACUCCAGACGCGCCGCCUUAAGAGCUGUAACACUCACCGGGAAGGUCUGCAGCUUCACUCCUGAGCCAGCGAGACCACGAACCCACCAGAAGGAAGAAACUCUGAACACAUCUGAACGUCAGAAGGAGCAAACUCCAGACGUGCCACCUUAAGAGCUGUAACACUCACUGCGAGGGUCCGCAGCUUCAUUCUUGAAGUCAGUGAGACCAAGUUCCGGACACAUUCUCAGGGCCAAAAUGGCUGACUAGAAGCAGCUACAGUGUGUAGCUCUCAGGGAGAGGAAGGAAAGGGAAGAGUAAAUACAGCACCUUCAACUGAAAUAUCCAGGUAUUCACAUUGGGACUGACCAGGGAAACAGCUGGACCCACAGAGAACGAAGAAAAGCAGGGCAGGGUGAUGGCCUGCACGAGAGUGACACGGAGCCAAGGGAACCUCCCCCUCCCAGGGAAGUGGGCAUGAAAGGUUCAAAUAGAAAAGCAGCAUGGUGAUGGGGCUGACUGUUCCAGAAUUGAUGUGCCCGUGCUCCGUGAGGAACGCAGCUCAUCUGUACCAGCAAAUGUGUUGGCUCCUGCCUGCAAUUGUAUCAUUCAGGUGUGCAUUGUAAAAACAAUUCACGGAUAAGCACAGUUGCUCUGGCAAGAACUUCCAGUACAGCGUUGAUGAGCAGUGGUAAAAGGAUUUCACUGUUUUCUGCUAUCUGGAUUUUCCCAAAGAUCCGCUAAAUCCUAAACUUCAUCUUGGUCUGAAGAAGGGCAAGUCCUCUCUCCAGCUCUUCAUUUGCUGACUCUCACUGAUGCAAGAAGAAUGAAGUCUCUUACCUGCCUUCUCCUAGGACAUCCUGGGAGAAACUGUGACUGCUGGUGUGUUCUCAAAACUCACCAACAUGAUUCUCCUUGUGGCUAUAUGACUCUAGAAAGGGAAUUUAAAUAAAAUGAUAACAAUUAACAGAUA